rnacentral:rRNA from 1 species
UACGUAGGGGCCUAGCGUUGUCCGGAAUUAUUGGGCGUAAAGGGCUCGUAGGCGGUUUGUCGCGUCGGGAGUGAAAUCCACUGGCUUAACUGGUGGCUUGCUUUCGAUACGGGCAGACUGGAGGUAUGCAGGGGAGAACGGAAUUCCUGGUGUAGCGGUGAAAUGCGCAGAUAUCAGGAGGAACACCGGUGGCGAAGGCGGUUCUCUGGGCAUGUCCUGACGCUGAGGAGCGAAAGUGUGGGGAGCGAACAGG